rnacentral:lncRNA from 1 species
GUUAUUCUUUCCCUCCAGUGCCUCCAGGGAAACACCCAUGAAUCGCUAGAUACAUACCGAGGAAUGAUGAAGUUUAACAUUAAGGGUCGCCUCCUAUAUAUUGUGGGCUGUCCUUUGUCCCCCUUUUGCUCAUCCUCCGAGGAAGUGCAACUGAUAAGACCAAGCCGUUCCCUUAUCAAUAGCAUUGGGGAGACUAUGGUUCAGUGGAACAGGAAGACCUACCCACCGUAUUUUCUGAGACGUAUAUACCCCAUCACAGCCGAGAGUGAAUUUCACAUGGAAAACGUUCUUUAUUCUUAUUUCAAUGGGAGUCGUAUUUAUGACGCGUCGGUUGCACGUAUUGACUGACUGAAUGAAGGAGGAAUAAGGUACAUAUUGAUAUAGUAUCAACGAAACAAAAUAAGUAAGUAAGUAAGAGAGAGAGAAAAUGGUGAGAGAGAGAGGAAGAUAAAGAAGGUAUAUUAACAAAAUAAAAAAAAUAAGAUAAAAAAUUGGUUUUCCGAUUGUGAGGGAAUACCUUUCCAUAAGACAGGACAAGAUAUUUAAAGAAAAAUAAAUAUUGUGAUCC